rnacentral:lncRNA from 1 species
ACAAUAAUAAUCAAACAAGUUUUGAUGGAAACAUGUGGGUACAUAGUGCCCAACAAACUUUAUUACAUGCCAUAAAUUUCAAAUGAUCAACAGUUCUAUCUCUUCCGACCACGCCGUGUACCCUUCCUCGCCUUGACAUUUCUUGUUUUUGGUUGUACUGCACACACAAGUUCACUGAUCAUCUUGGUUUUCUUCACUGGACUCGAUG